UUUGUAGGGCCAUUUCCUGGCAAGGCAGGAAAUUGUUCCCUGAGAGUGGGUAACUUGAACGAGGGAGAAGUCCGAAAAGGAAAAGUGUGAAAACGGGAUUUAUAGGACGAUAUUGUGUUAUUCUUUCACACAAAUAAGCGCCUAGCUGGAACGGGAACAAGCUCUUCCGGUGUUUUCGUACGGAGGAUAUGAAGGAGAGGAAAGUGUUUCUGUUCAAAUGAAGGCUCACGGCUGAACAUGAAAAUAAAGGACACUAAGAAACCUCAGACAGACAGACAGGUCUACACCUCCACUGCUUCAUCAAGUGUACAGCAGGAGGGUGAAAUCCAUCAGACAGACAGGUCUACACCUCCACUGCUUCAUCAAGUGUACAGCAGGAGGGUGAAAUCAGCUUUAGAUCAGUCUGUAGAUGUGAUUUAAGCUAUAAUGAGCUAUAGUCCACCCUUCUUUCAUACAUGGCAGAAUGGAACCACCACCACCAUCACCACCACCAUCACCCCACCAUCAGCACCUCCGCCUCCUCCACACCACUCGUGAGUAAGCUGUUCAUGACCUAGAAAACAGCUAAUUUCUAAUGUCAUUUAUGUGUAUAUAGUAAAAUGUAGGAAUAUAUCUCACUUAUUUGGGGAAUGUCAGCAUCUGCACUUACAUUCCCCAAAUGAGUGAGUUGUGAAUGAAAGUCAAAAGAUACGGCUCCAGAGACUAAGUCAAUAAUUUAAUUAUUUCCAAUUAGUUAGGUGAGCAUUUUUUGCACAAUUAAUACAAACACAAUCAAGCACGCCAUAAUCUAUAUUUAGGCAAAUGAUGUAUCUGAUGAUGUAUAUUUGGCCGCCCCCCGGAGCUCACGGGAGGCCCCCCCAGGGGCCAUCGGCUCGGCCCACGACCCGCUGCCCGGGAGUCCGGGGAGAGAGAAAAAGAAAACCGGCAAAGUACGAGCUCCGGCCAUCGCCGCACGCCCAGUCACGGAGCACCGCAGCCCGGGCCGGGCCGUCGGAGGCCGUCGGCUCAGCCCACGACCGGCUGCCCGGGAGUCCGGGGCCACAUUGGCUCUGGGAGGAACCAAACCAUCGUCACGCAGCAAAGAAACCUACAUACAGGCACUAUCUGCUUUGCCCAUUUUGUCUUAAAACACAAGAGACCCUGUCAUGCCAUCUGCGGAGGGCAUGCUUGAAGAACAGGACUGAAGCAGCCAUCGAAGCCGUGGUUGAAAAGGCCAAGUUGGACGUUGUGGACCUCCUGAAGAAUGGCAGGGCUUUUAGUUAUGCAGUUAUUAAAUUAUGGCAGAUGCAAAUCCAAUCCAAAGGUUGGUGGCUUCUGCAAUACUUCUUGUUCAAUCCUCGGUGACCUCUCUGAGGCAAAAAUGAAAAAGAGAACACAGCAGAACUACCUCAAGAGCUUGAAACAAUUCUCGGUUUUCCUCACUGUCCAAACCAACCUGAGAAAUGAGGAUUUGCCACUCCAUAAAGAGUGCCAGUACUUCAUUGCCUUCAAUGAUUCUUUGCAGCACAUCCUUGCCAAGCACUCAAAGAAAGAGAUCACCCAAAAGAGGCACAGCAUGUUGAUUGACGUGUUGUCAACAAAAAACUGCUUGGUUGUACUGGAGGCUGCCAAGAAGGAAUUCUUGGCAGUUAUAGGUAAACUGUCUGACAGUAGUUCUGACACCCUGGAGUCUGUCCAGAACAUAUUUGUGGUGUACUACCUCGAGGCUGUAGUACAUCUACAAACUCCAACGACCGGGCGUGGUGGAGCACAUGACUG